ACAGAUGGCUUUUACCACACCUUUGCAUGAUCGCUUAUGGUAAUAGGACUGCGGUGCCCUGAGACGUGGGGAUCUGCGUGAGUGCCCCCGGCAAAGUCUGCUCUUCCGGCCUCGAAUCUGGAUCCCAGGCUUGAGGAACAGUCAAGCUUGAGUUCUCUUGGCCUUUCCUGGACAUCUGUCCUGAGGCUGCUCUCAUUUAAGCCUCACGGAGGAAACCCAAGUUUCUGCAGCAGGAGAGGGGCGUGACCCCAGGGACAGCCGGAGAAGACGGUGUAGAACCAGCUGUCACGGAGCCUGAUGUCCGGCCUGGAGCAUCAGCCCAUCACCUUCAGAGUGGACCCGAGGGCCUCACCUGCCACCUGGG
rnacentral:lncRNA from 1 species